rfam:Solanum lycopersicum cultivar Heinz 1706 chromosome 12, whole genome shotgun sequence.
GGCAAAGUUGAUGGUGGUUUUCUAUUUCUGACACCUCUUGUAUGAGAAGAGCUUCAAAAGGUUGUUCCUUGAGCACAUUAAGCAAACUUCUGUUUC